GGAGGGAUGGCCGAGUGGUUUAAGGCGGCGGUCUUGAAAACCGUUGAUCCAAAAGAUCCGGGGGUUCGAAUCCCUCUCCCUCCGCCA
rnacentral:tRNA from 1 species